rnacentral:lncRNA from 13 species
AUGUAUGUUUCCCUUUACCUAUGUAGCCAUUCCUGGAGUGAGUGCAACAGAAGAGACAGGCAUGCAUCCUUUCGUCAACAUCAGGAGCAGUGGAGCCCUGUAGACCUCCCAGAGAGCUGGUUGGUAACGAAGGACCAUAUUUAUGAGGGCUUGAAUAGCCAGAUAAAGACUUUAUGUUCCCGGUAUAACAUGGAGUCAGGACCACAAAGCAGACUGAAAAAAGCCUGGAGAUAAUGGUUUCAGAAUGAUUCAUACACAUAAAACAUGUUGUUUAUAGAAAGUUUGUUUUGGGAUAGACUCAACUGCUGUUUUGACUCGGAUAGGAGCCUUAAACGCAUUCAAGAAGUUCAUCACUUCCAGUAUUCAAUUUUUCUUCUAGUUGUGUUUUCAUAUCAGCACUCAGAUAUUUCGCAACCAUUGCCCAUUUCUCGUUACGGCAGGAAAUAUAUCAACACUUUGGACUAAAUCAGCAACUUUCUCACAUAUAUAACAUUUGGUUUUAUUCACCUUGAUUUCAGUGUUCUGUUCAAACAGUUUAGGCAGCCAAGAGUAUCCAAGGAUCCAAGGAUACCUUACUUUUAAGCACAUUCAUCUGUUACCUUUUUUCCUAUCAUUGAACGACAUGGUACAUAUUGUAUUACACAAGUUAAGAUUGUUCAUGGAAUAUAUAAUGAUUGCUCAACACAAUUCUGUUUACAAACCCGAGGGAUGCAAUUACAUGUCACAUCAGUAACUCAAAUAAUUUGUAACAUGGUAAUUCAGAAUCCUCAGAGGACAAUAUGCUCAGGGGAAUGAGUCAAGAAUAACAUAACCUGUAGGAACAACCUAAUAAAAAGGACCUCAUUACUGUACGUCCUAUUUCCAUAUUUCAGAUAGCUGUUUUUAGUCAUCUCCAAUAAAUUACUUGAAUACAUGAUUAGUCUUCACGCUCAUUGAAGGGAGAAAUUGUGCCCAGACUGAGUUUCAAAUGUUGAAUGGAAUAUCACAAUUUCCCACCAUGAUCAUUGCAUAAAACUGUGGACAGACUUCAGCUCAAUCAGCUCAAUGUCUAGUUUUGAUUUAUAUUUGAUUGCGUUGUCAAUUAAUAUCAAUAACAAUAAAAAUACCAUGUCAUUGGAUUUAAGUUAAAAGUUGGGUGAAAAAAAGACUAAUAUUCCCGAAAUUCCCUUACAUUGAUGACUUUUUGCUAAUCCAAUCAGUUUCCCACGCUGAUUCAACGUCAUGACAUAGCAUUUUUAUGACGUGGAAACAACAUUGAUUGAACCAGUUUGUGCCCAGUUGGAAGGUACAAGAAACUCAAACUAGUUAAAUAGUGUAAAUAGUCUCCAAUGGCCCUUUUCCUCCUCCCUCUUAGUUGGUGAUCAACAGUGGUAUGUUCUAUUCCUGAAACCGCCAGUCAUCUCCCCUGUCGGUUUGAUCAAAGGCACCUAGAUGACUAGGCGACUAGUCACAAGGACUGUCAGCUCUGCUCAUCAUUACUGGAGCCGUUAUGUGCUUCAGGCCUGUCUGGAGACUGAUGCUGACAGAGGCAAACACAUCAAGAGUUGUCUGGUACCAAGCUCCUCCAGCUCCACUCCGCACCAGGCCCAGUGUCGAGCCCAGCACUGGGCGUAUCAGCUGCUCCUGUAGGAGGUAUCAAGCCCUGGAUAUCUGGGUCUUGCUCUGUGCUUCAGACAGUGAUAGCUGAUGCUGUCUGUGAUUGGUUGUCCAGACAAGUCACCUCCAGGCGGUCUGACCUCAUACCCUACAAUCACAUUCCUGACUCUGUUUGUUCUGGCCAAGCAGAGUUUAUUUCUGGCUUCUUUGUUGAGAUAAGACAAACACAACAAAGUACAAAGGUUAUUUAAGGAACAAUGACAGAUGUGGUUUUGGUUUCCGAGCAAGAGGAAGGAUAAUUUUGUUCCCAUUUUCUUGUAGUCUUCUUUAUACUUUCAGGCCAUCUUGUUAUUAUACAAUUAUCUUCCGUUCUAUUGCUCUUUCGGGUAACUUGGAUGCCUAUUCAUGAUUCUCCAAGAAAAAGUCAUGCUCUUACCCAGCGAAUGGUUAGAUUUGCUUGUGUAUCCAAGCAUUCCAUGACCCAAAAUGCUGUACAAGCUGCCUUUACCAGUGCUUGAGAGAGGCUUCAUUCAAUUUCCUACACGCUGAUUUAUAAUGUGUACAUUUUUGUCCACGUCAGUGCAUAUGCACACUGUAGACUGUGGUUAACUUAAAGCCCCCCGAACCCGUACAAUUCAGGAAGCUCAGCAUAUUGUUUCAAAGUGCUCAUAAAGAAACCUGGAAAAUGACAACAUGCUUUAGGGUGAGCUCAACUUAAGCCUAUGGUGGAAGAAGUGUAUGGCAUUGAAAAGGUCUCUACAAAAUGGUUUCCCCUUUUUCUGCUGGUGGAGGGAAAAAAUAAUGAAAGAAACAAAACUCCUCUUAAAGUGAGAGCAUACAGCAGCCACCAAUGAAGCAGGAGAAAAGCUUAUCCUAUUUCAUCAAAAGUUCCGUUGAAUAUUUAUACAUAAUAUUGACUGGAACCUUAUCUAUAAUGUAUAUAGUAAAUAAAUAUAUAUAAUAAC